GAGUUUAUUUUCAAGAUUCAAGGAACCUAUUUGUAAAGCAUCGAUGUAUGGAUGAAGAGGCUAUGGAGCUAGGCACUGCUGAGGAGGGAGGGGCCGAUGCUUAGAGUUCCUUGUCGGUUCGACUUUCGAUAAUAAUGGUUUAUGUUUUUAUGUUUUUGUGAUGGGUCCCGUGUUGAGACGUUUUGUUGGCUUAACUUAAGACAAUAUGUCUUUGGGCAUGAUGUAAAUAUUAUGGUGGGGUGAUGGUAAUGGUGUAACUUUUAUGGUGGGAUGAUGGUAACACCACAUACAAUGGUUUAACAUCUUUUUGUAUGUGUUGCAGGGACUGAGUCCCCUCUUAUUAGAACUAGUUAUGUUUGAUGAAUGAAUGUUGGACUCUGACAGUCUUUUAU